rnacentral:rRNA from 1 species
AGAGUUUGAUCCUGGCUCAGGAUGAACGCUGGCGGUAUGCUUAACACAUGCAAGUCGAACGGUGUCUUCGGACACAGUGGCGGACGGGUGAGUAACGCGUGAGAAUCUGCCUUCAGGUCUGGGACAACCACUGGAAACGGUGGCUAAUACCGGAUGUGCCGCAAGGUGAAAGGUUAACUGCCUGAAGAUGAGCUCGCGUCUGAUUAGCUAGUUGGCAGUGUAAGAGACUACCAAGGCGACGAUCAGUAGCUGGUCUGAGAGGACGAUCAGCCACACUGGGACUGAGACACGGCCCAGACUCCUACGGGAGGCAGCAGUGGGGAAUUUUCCGCAAUGGGCGAAAGCCUGACGGAGCAAUACCGCGUGAGGGAGGAAGGCUCUUGGGUCGUAAACCUCUUUUCUCAGGGAAGAACACAAUGACGGUACCUGAGGAAUAAGCAUCGGCUAACUCCGUGCCAGCAGCCGCGGUAAUACGGAGGAUGCAAGCGUUAUCCGGAAUGAUUGGGCGUAAAGCGUCCGCAGGUGGCGAUGUAAGUCUGCUGUUAAAGCGUCUAGCUCAACUAGAUAAAAGCAGUGGAAACUACAUAGCUAGAGUACGUUCGGGGCAGAGGGAAUUCCUGGUGUAGCGGUGAAAUGCGUAGAGAUCAGGAAGAACACCGGUGGCGAAGGCGCUCUGCUAGGCCGUAACUGACACUGAGGGACGAAAGCUAGGGGAGCGAAUGGGAUUAGAUACCCCAGUAGUCCUAGCCGUAAACGAUGGAUACUAGGCGUGGCUUGUAUCGACCCGAGCCGUGCCGUAGCUAACGCGUUAAGUAUCCCGCCUGGGGAGUACGCACGCAAGUGUGAAACUCAAAGGAAUUGACGGGGGCCCGCACAAGCGGUGGAGUAUGUGGUUUAAUUCGAUGCAACGCGAAGAACCUUACCAAGGCUUGACAUGUCGCGAAUCUUCUUGAAAGGGGAGAGUGCCUUCGGGAGCGCGAACACAGGUGGUGCAUGGCUGUCGUCAGCUCGUGUCGUGAGAUGUUGGGUUAAGUCCCGCAACGAGCGCAACCCUCGUUUUUAGUUGCCAGCAUUAAGUUGGGCACUCUAGAGAGACUGCCGGUGACAAACCGGAGGAAGGUGGGGAUGACGUCAAGUCAGCAUGCCCCUUACGCCUUGGGCUACACACGUACUACAAUGCUCCGGACAGAGGGCAGCAAGCACGCGAGUGCAAGCUAAUCCCGGAAACCGGGGCUCAGUUCAGAUCGCAGGCUGCAACUCGCCUGCGUGAAGUCGGAAUCGCUAGUAAUUGCAGGUCAGCAUACUGCAGUGAAUUCGUUCCCGGGCCUUGUACACACCGCCCGUCACACCAUGGAAGCUGGUAGUGCCCGAAGUCAUUACUCCAACCUUUCGGGGAGGAGGAUGCCUAAGGCAGGACUGGUGACUGGGGUGAAGUCGUAACAAGGUAGCCGUACCGGAAGGUGUGGCUGGAUCACCUCCUU